rnacentral:lncRNA from 1 species
AAGAAAAAAUCAAAAGAGAGAUAGUCGAAUUUAGAGGGAAUUUAGUGAGAGAAAGAUAGUGAAAUCGAGAUAAGAGUGCAAAAAAUAGUGUGAGAGUGUACGCAUGCUGUCUGAAGGAGAAGACAAUCCUUUCUAUUCUCAGGUAAGCAUCUCAUUCUGUUUCAAGUAAAUUAGCUCUCCCUUCUGAUGUGAUCUUAGAUAACCUA